UACGUAGGGUGCAAGCGUUGUCCGGAAUUAUUGGGCGUAAAGAGCUCGUAGGCGGUCUGUCACGUCGGCUGUGAAAACCCGAGGCUCAACCUCGGGCCUGCAGUCGAUACGGGCAAACUAGAGUACUGCAGGGGAGACUGGAAUUCCUGGUGUAGCGGUGAAAUGCGCAGAUAUCAGGAGGAACACCGGUGGCGAAGGCGGGUCUCUGGGUAGUAACUGACGCUGGAGGAGCGAAAGCGUGGGAGCGAACAGG
rnacentral:rRNA from 1 species